rnacentral:lncRNA from 1 species
AUCGAUCUCAAAAAUGAAAUCAGUACCUCAAAAUUAAUCAAAUCCAACCUCUUCCCAAAAAAAACAUGGACGUGGCAUUGGGAUCCACUGACGUGGUGCUGACUGGUCUUCCACCUGGACUAUUGAUGUGACAUCUCUUGCUCCUUUCUUUCUCAUCCCUUAGGUCGGAACCUUGCUCUGAUACCACUUGUUGAGACCGAC